GGGCCACAAUGAGAGGAAGAGUGAGGAAACGAGAGGCAGAGAUGGUAGAGACGCAGAAAAUAGAGAUAAAAGAGGAUGAGAAAGGAAGAGAAAGGAAACAAGAGUCCUCCUGUAGGGUCAAGAACUGCAUGGCUAUGGGUUUUGCAGCAGCAGCAGGAUUCACAAUUGCAUUGAUCGGGGUAGCGGUCGCAAACAUCUGCUGGGCGGAGGAGAUGGUUUACCUUGUCCCAACCUGAGAUGAAUGCCCUUCUCUUUAUUUUCUAAUCACAAUAAAUCCUUCUCUUUUUUUUUGGCUUAGUUUCAUUAAGUACCAGUUUGGUGAUAUACAUUGACUGAAUAGUCUGAAAACAAACUUGAAUAGUUCUACUAUGAGAAUCUGUUCUUUCUUUUUUGUUCUCCAUGAAAUAUGUGGAUAAUUUUUGUGGUUCA
rnacentral:lncRNA from 1 species